UACGUAGGUGGCAAGCGUUGUCCGGAAUUAUUGGGCGUAAAGCGCGCGCAGGUGGUUUCUUAAGUCUGAUGUGAAAGCCCACGGCUCAACCGUGGAGGGUCAUUGGAAACUGGGGAACUUGAGUGCAGGAGAGAAGAGUGGAAUUCCACGUGUAGCGGUGAAAUGCGUUAGGAGAUGUGGAGGAACACCAGUGGCGAAGGCGACUCUUUGGCCUGUAACUGACACUGAGGCGCGAAAGCGUGGGGAGCAAACAGG
rnacentral:rRNA from 1 species